rnacentral:rRNA from 1 species
CCUACGGGUGGCAGCAGUGGGGAAUAUUGCACAAUGGGCGCAAGCCUGAUGCAGCAACGCCGCGUGAGGGAUGACGGCCUUCGGGUUGAAACCUCUUUUAGCAGGGAAGCGGUACCUGCAGAAAAAGCGCCGGCUAACUACGUGCCAGCAGCCGCGGUAAUACGUAGGGCGCAAGCGUUAUCCGGAAUUAUUGGGCGUAAAGAGCUCGUAGGCGGUUUGUCGCGUCUGCUGUGAAAUCCGGAGGCUCAACCUCCGGCCUGCAGUGGGUACGGGCAGACUAGAGUGCGGUAGGGGAGAUUGGAAUUCCUGGUGUAGCGGUGGAAUGCGCAGAUAUCAGGAGGAACACCGAUGGCGAAGGCAGAUCUCUGGGCCGUACUGACGCUGAGGAGCGAAAGGGUGGGGAGCAAACAGGAUUAGAUACCCGUGUAGUC